UGUGAACUCGAAGAGUAGGGCGGGACACGUGGUAUCCUGUCUGAAUAUGGGGGGACCAUCCUCCAAGGCUAAAUACUCCUGACUGACCGAUAGUGAACCAGUACCGUGAGGGAAAGGCGAAAAGAACCCCGGCGAGGGGAGUGAAAAAGAACCUGAAACCGUGUACGUACAAGCAGUAGGAGCCCACUUGUUGGGUGACUGCGUACCUUUUGUAUAAUGGGUCAGCGACUUAUAUUCUGUAGCAAGGUUAACCGUAUAGGGGAGCCGCAGGGAAACCGAGUCUUAACUGGGCGUUAAGUUGCAGGGUAUAGACCCGAAACCCGGUGAUCUAGCCAUGGGCAGGUUGAAGGUUGGGUAACACUAACUGGAGGACCGAACCGACUAAUGUUGAAAAAUUAGCGGAUGACUUGUGGCUGGGGGUGAAAGGCCAAUCAAACCGGGAGAUAGCUGGUUCUCCCCGAAAGCUAUUUAGGUAGCGCCUCGUGAACUCAUCUUCGGGGGUAGAGCACUGUUUCGGCUAGGGGGUCAUCCCGACUUACCAACCCGAUGCAAACUACGAAUACCGAAGAAUGUUAUCACGGGAGACACACGGCGGGUGCUAACGUCCGUCGUGAAGAGGGAAACAACCCAGACCGCCAGCUAAGGUCCCAAAGUCAUGGUUAAGUGGGAAACGAUGUGGGAAGGCCCAGACAGCCAGGAUGUUGGCUUAGAAGCAGCCAUCAUUUAAAGAAAGCGUAAUAGCUCACUGGUCGAGUCGGCCUGCGCGGAAGAUGUAACGGGGCUAAACCAUGCACCGAAGCUGCGGCAGCGACACUAUGUGUUGUUGGGUAGGGGAGCGUUCUGUAAGCCGUUGAAGGUGGCCUGUGAGGGUUGCUGGAGGUAUCAGAAGUGCGAAUGCUGACAUAAGUAACGAUAAUGCGGGUGAAAAACCCGCACGCCGGAAGACCAAGGGUUCCUGUCCAACGUUAAUCGGGGCAGGGUGAGUCGACCCCUAAGGCGAGGCCGAAAGGCGUAGUCGAUGGGAAACAGGUUAAUAUUCCUGUACUCGGUGUUACUGCGAAGGGGGGACGGAGAAGGCUAUGUUGGCCGGGCGACGGUUGUCCCGGUUUAAGCAUGUAGGCGGAUGUUCCAGGUAAAUCCGGAACGUUAUUAACGCUGAGGUGUGAUGACGAGGCACUACGGUGCUGAAGUGACAAAUGCCCUGCUUCCAGGAAAAGCCUCUAAGCAUCAGGUAACAUCAAAUCGUACCCCAAACCGACACAGGUGGUCAGGUAGAGAAUACCAAGGCGCUUGAGAGAACUCGGGUGAAGGAACUAGGCAAAAUGGUGCCGUAACUUCGGGAGAAGGCACGCUGAUGGUAAGUGAAGUGACUUGCUCAUGGAGCUGAAAUCAGUCGAAGAUACCAGCUGGCUGCAACUGUUUAUUAAAAACACAGCACUGUGCAAACACGAAAGUGGACGUAUACGGUGUGACGCCUGCCCGGUGCCGGAAGGUUAAUUGAUGGGGUUAUCCGUAAGGAGAAGCUCUUGAUCGAAGCCCCGGUAAACGGCGGCCGUAACUAUAACGGUCCUAAGGUAGCGAAAUUCCUUGUCGGGUAAGUUCCGACCUGCACGAAUGGCGUAAUGAUGGCCAGGCUGUCUCCACCCGAGACUCAGUGAAAUUGAACUCGCUGUGAAGAUGCAGUGUACCCGCGGCAAGACGGAAAGACCCCGUGAACCUUUACUAUAGCUUGACACUGAACACUGGUCCUUGAUGUGUAGGAUAGGUGGGAGGCUUUGAAGUGUGGACGCCAGUCUGCAUGGAGCCAUCCUUGAAAUACCACCCUUUAAUGGCUGGUGUUCUAACGUGGGCCCCUAAUCGGGGUUGCGGACAGUGUCUGGUGGGUAGUUUGACUGGGGCGGUCUCCUCCUAAAGAGUAACGGAGGAGCACGAAGGUCAGCUAAUCCUGGUCGGACAUCAGGAGGUUAGUGCAAUGGCAUAAGCUGGCUUGACUGCGAGCGUGACGGCGCGAGCAGGUGCGAAAGCAGGUCAUAGUGAUCCGGUGGUUCUGAAUGGAAGGGCCAUCGCUCAACGGAUAAAAGGUACUCCGGGGAUAACAGGCUGAUACCGCCCAAGAGUUCAUAUCGACGGCGGUGUUUGGCACCUCGAUGUCGGCUCAUCACAUCCUGGGGCUGAAGUAGGUCCCAAGGGUAUGGCUGUUCGCCAUUUAAAGUGGUACGCGAGCUGGGUUUAGAACGUCGUGAGACAGUUCGGUCCCUAUCUGCCGUGGGCGCUGGAGAAUUGAGGGGGGCUGCUCCUAGUACGAGAGGACCGGAGUGGACGCAUCACUGGUGUUCGGGUUGUCAUGCCAAUGGCAUUGCCCGGUAGCUAAAUGCGGAAGAGAUAAGUGCUGAAAGCAUCUAAGCACGAAACUUGCCCCGAGAUGAGUUCUCCCUGACUCCUUGAGAGUCCUGAAGGAACGUUGAAGACGACGACGUUGAUAGGCCGGGUGUGUAAGCGCAGCGAUGCGUUGAGCUAACCGGUACUAAUGAACCGUGAGGCUUAACCUU
rnacentral:rRNA from 1 species